GCUGAACUUUAUUUUUUAUUAUAAAUAUAAGGCAUUAUUCUAGGGCCUGGCAAACAUAGGCAGCCACUUUUUUUUUCUGGGGAAGAUUAUACCUUGGUAUGUUUUCACCACUGUGAGAUGAAAAUUUGAGAACAGUGAGAGACAGAUGCUUGCCUGAGGAGUUUUAUUUUCCCUUUAAUCCUUAUCAAAUAUCCAGAUAUUACCUAUAUUGCCUUGAUCUGCUGUCUGAAGGAGAGCCAUGCUGCCUUGCUGCUUCUUGCUCGUGUACACAGAGCACUUGGUGUCUUGCGAAUCCCCUUUGACGCCGGUGCCUUUCCAGGCUUUGUUGGGCCAGGAGAUGGUUUUGCAGCAGCAGAAGACUAUGAACUGGGCUUUGGGAGAUAGGAUCUCUGGUUGUAUUCUGGCUAUCCACACUCUGAAAGAGGACCGUGACAGAGAAUUUGAGUAUCCUACCAAUAUACCUACAAAAGGAUGAAAGAAGAUUUGGAGUCAAGGGAAAACAAGGGCAAUAAAAUAGAAGCUUACCACCUGCUCUCAUACAGUUGCUAGAAGAGGACUGCAUAUUUGGUUCUAAGUUUCUGGAAGAUAAAGCCAAAAUAGAAACACAACUCAUUAUAAAAUUUUGGUGUAUCCAUAAAAUAAAAACAAAUGACCUGUUUGAGAAAACUCUUUCUGAGUUUGAGCUCUAAAAGGAACUUCUCUAUGGAAUCCUUAGAAUAUGAGAAGGCUGUGAUAUAGGGGAGAAACCCCUUGACAUUCCUAUAUUGGGUUUAGGUCUAAUUUCACUCAGUAGUUUUUAAAUGUUACUCCUUGUAGACAGAUGAUGAGACGCCAAAGUACAGCUGAGUGAAAGCGGUUCCUUUGAAAACUAAAGGCUGUAAAAACAAGGCUGUGGAUCAUGUUGUUUCAGUUCUUUAUAGAUUUUUUAAACUGAAUUUUGCAUCUGUGUACAUGAAGAAUAAAUUGUAGAAUAUCUAAGGAAAUGGAUGGGCUGCUUAUCUUUUAGAACCUCCAUAAAUUAUUUAUUGUAAGUAUGUUUGAUAAGGAUUGUACAGCUGAGAGUUCAAGGUUGCAUUUUUUUCCCCAGCAAGAACCAAAAGUGCAGAUAACAUGCAGCCAAUUAAGGACAAAUCUGUAUGGUUUGUCAAUCAAUCUGUCAGGAUGUCCCUGAAUUGUAGCACUUAUCACUUGGUAUUAUAGACAUCUGUGUCCCUGGCAUAACUGCAUCCUCUUCAAGGGCAGGAAUUGCUUCUUUUCCAUUUUUGCACUCUAGCAUCCAGCAUUAUGUUUGAGACCUAGCAUCUAUAUGAGAGACUUUGUUGAACGGAAUCAAUUGAAAGGCUUCCCAUUAUCAUGCAGUACUACUUGACAAAGAUCAGAACCCUGAGCAAUCAAGGGCAGGAAACAUAGGCUAGCUGAGCUUUGAAGGAAGUGAAAAGAAAAAGAGGCAGCAAAGAUGGGAACAUGGAGGACAGUCUGAGAAAACAAGCUCAGGGUUGAAGGGGGUGUUCCAGUGAAGGGGUGAUGAGUGGGACCUCACACAUGGAGCAGAUAACAUUGGUGCAUCAGUUGAUUUAAAUGAGCAGAAUGGAAAGUGUCUAAAAGAGAGAUGUGGAAAUGAGUAGAAACAUCCCUUUCCUGUUGGGCCAGCUAUUGUCUAUGGUUAGUCCUUUUCCCAUCCUUAUUUCCUCUCCUCUGAAUUGCAAGUUGCUGGAAACAUGAGAAGUGCAUUCCUUGCUCCCUUGGUUACUGGGCUUCAGUUAGCAUUUGCCAAUGAGGGUGAGCACUCAUGGGAGACUGGAAAGUGGUAGAAAGGGAAAGCCAUUCAGCUGGCUGUGACAGUGGCAGCAGCGGGCAGUACCGUGGGCUCCAACAGCAUUGGUGGUGGCUCCAGCAUCAUCACUGGGAGCUUGGGCUCCUGGGUUCCUGCUCAGCAGCUAUGGUCAGUACCUUCUGAGAUGGCCUCCUCUGAUCCUCACCUCUUGGUAUUCAUGGCCUUGUGAAAUCCCCUUUGCUUGAGUAACUUGCUGCCAACCAAUAGAAUAUGGCAAUGUUGAGGGUUGCUACCUUUCUGACUAGGUUGCAAAUGAUUGUGACUUCUGUCUUGCUGGCAGGCUCUCUCUAUUUGCCUUUUGGUUUGUGUGCUCUGAGGAUGCAAACUGCCAUGUUCGUGAGACCUGCAUGGCGAGGAAUUGAGGGCAGACUCUGUCCAACAGCCAGUGAGAAACUGAGGUCCAACAGCCUACACGGAGCUGAAUCUUACCAAUAACUACAUGAACUUGAAAGUGUAUCCUUCCCUUCAGAUGAGUGUAGCCUGAGUGACACCUUAACUGAAGCCUAUGAGAGGCCCUGAAGCAGAGGAAGGACCCAGCUAGCUCACACCUAGAUUUCUGAUGCAUAGAAACUGUGAGAUAGCAUGUGUUAUUUUAAGCCAGUUUUGAGAUGAUUUGUUAUACAAUAGCAAUAGAUAACAAAUAUGAUGGCAGAGCUCUGUUCCAACAGCAGUAGCAAGCGUGUGCUUGCCGACUCUGGAUCACUCCACAUUCACCUCUUUGCUUCUACAGCUAUGGGACAAUAGCAGCAGCGUCCUACAGUUGCCAAUUUCUAGGUAAUGCCAUUUUCCACUUGACCUGUGUUUUCAAAACCUUUGUCACCAUUUUCCUAUAUUAAAUUCCUUCAUAAUAACAGAAGAGUGGCUAACAUAUGCACACAACUAUUUUUCUUGAUAGGGAGAUAAAGAGAGCAUUGCUGUAUAUUAAAUGUAGUUAUGUCUUUUUAGAUGUUUAAGAAAAUGAAAUGCACCUUUUUUCAAGUGAAUAAAUGUUUGCCUCUCUGUA
rnacentral:lncRNA from 10 species